AUUGAACGCUGGCGGCAGGCCUAACACAUGCAAGUCGAGCGGAUGAAGGGAGCUUGCUCCUGGAUUCAGCGGCGGACGGGUGAGUAAUGCCUAGGAAUCUGCCUGGUAGUGGGGGAUAACGUCCGGAAACGGGCGCUAAUACCGCAUACGUCCUGAGGGAGAAAGUGGGGGAUCUUCGGACCUCACGCUCUCAGAUGAGCCUAGGUCGGAUUAGCUAGUUGGUGGGGUAAAGGCCUACCAAGGCGACGAUCCGUAACUGGUCUGAGAGGAUGAUCAGUCACACUGGAACUGAGACACGGUCCAGACUCCUACGGGAGGCAGCAGUGGGGAAUAUUGGACAAUGGGCGAAAGCCUGAUCCAGCCAUGCCGCGUGUGUGAAGAAGGUCUUCGGAUUGUAAUGCACUUUAAGUUGGGAGGAAGGGCAGUAAGUUAAUACCUUGCUGUUUUGACGUUACCAACAGAAUAAGCACCGGCUAACUUCGUG
rnacentral:rRNA from 1 species